rnacentral:tRNA from 1 species
GCGGCUGUAGCUCAGUGGUAGAGCGCGACGUUGCCAUCGUCGAGGUCCCGGGUUCGAGCCCCGGCAGCCGCUCCA